UCCGGUUUGGCACCGGCAGUCUCCUAUGAGUCCCCGGCAUGACCCGCUGGCAACAUAGGACAGGGGUUGCGCUCGUUGCGCCACUUAAGGCAACACCUCACGGCACGAGCUGACGACGACCAUGCAGCACCUGUGCGGGCUCCCGAAAGAGGACCGUGUUUCCACGGCUUCACCCCGCAUGUCAAGCCCUGGUAAGGUUCUUCGCGUCGCGUCGAAUUAAGCCACAUGCUCCGCCGCUUGUGCGGGUCCCCGUCAAUUCCUUUGAGUUUUAGUCUUGCGACCGUACUCCCCAGGCGGGGUACUUACUGCGUUAGCGACGGCACCGAAGGGGUCGCUCCCCCCGACGCCUAGUACCCAUCGUUUACGGCGUGGACUAC
rnacentral:misc_RNA from 1 species